AUUGGAAGGGGUGUAUUUAUUAGAUAAAAAACCAACGCCCUUCGGGGCUCCUUGGUGAAUCAUAAUAACUUAACGAAUCGCAUGGCCUUGCGCCGGCGAUGGUUCAUUCAAAUUUCUGCCCUAUCAACUUUCGAUGGUAGGAUAGUGGCCUACCAUGGUGGCAACGGGUAACGGGGAAUUAGGGUUCGAUUCCGGAGAGGGAGCCUGAGAAACGGCUACCACAUCCAAGGAAGGCAGCAGGCGCGCAAAUUACCCAAUCCCGAUACGGGGAGGUAGUGACAAUAAAUACUGAUACGGGGCUCUUUUGGGUCUCGUAAUUGGAAUGAGAACAAUUUAAAUCCCUUAACGAGGAACAAUUGGAGGGCAAGUCUGGUGCCAGCAGCCGCGGUAAUUCCAGCUCCAAUAGCGUAUAUUAAAGUUGUUGCAGUUAAAAAGCUCGUAGUUGAACCUUGGCCCUGGCUGGCCGGUCCGCCUCACCGCGAGUACUGGUCCGGCUGGGGCUUUCCUUCUGGGGAACCUCAUGGCCUUCACUGGCUGUGGGGGGAACCAGGACUUUUAC
rnacentral:rRNA from 1 species